UUGUAUAUGAGGGAUAUUAACCAUUUGUUAGUUGCACUGCAAUAUCUUCCCCCUAACUCUUUUUUUUUCCCUUCGAUCUGUGAUUAGAAAAAUAUAUUCUCUCACCCCAGACCUGAUCCUACAGGUUCCGGUGCUCAGGAGUGAUGAACUGAUCAGCUAGACGAGGCCGGGCUUGUUCCGGGCUGAUGAUUAUCGAGGCGAUUCUGAUCUGA